UCCGUCUUCGGAGAACAUUGGCGAGUGCAUGAGCGGGACCAUUUCUUUAUUCGCGGAGGCGAUCAGCUGUCGCGCUUCGGUCGUCUGGGCGGGGCCUCCACGGCGGCC
rnacentral:lncRNA from 1 species